rnacentral:rRNA from 1 species
AUUGAACGCUGGCGGCAUGCCUUACACAUGCAAGUCGAACGGCAGCACGGGAGCAAUCCUGGUGGCGAGUGGCGAACGGGUGAGUAAUGCAUCGGAACGUGCCCAGUCGUGGGGGAUAACUGCUCGAAAGAGCAGCUAAUACCGCAUACGACCUGAGGGUGAAAGCGGGGGACCGUAAGGCCUCGCGCGAUUGGAGCGGCCGAUGUCAGAUUAGGUAGUUGGGGGGGUAAAGGCUCACCAAGCCAACGAUCUGUAGCUGGUCUGAGAGGACGACCAGCCACACUGGGACUGAGACGCGGCCCAGACUCCUACGGGAGGCAGCAGUGGGGAAUUUUGGACAAUGGGGGCAACCCUGAUCCAGCAGUGCCGCGUGCAGGAAGAAGGCCCUCGGGUUGUAAACUGCUUUUGUACGGAACGAAAAGACUCUGGUUAAUACCUGGGGUCCAUGACGGUACCGUAAGAAUAAGCACCGGCUAACUACGUGCCAGCCGCCGCGGUAACAC